rnacentral:rRNA from 1 species
AAUCAACGCUGGCGGCGCGCUUAACACAUGCAAGUCGCACGAGAAAGUGGAGCAAUCCAUGAGUAAAGUGGCGUACGGGUGAGUAACACGUGGAUCAUUUACCUCUUGGUGGGGAAUAACCCUGGGAAACCGGGGCUAAUACCGCAUAAGCCUGCGAAGGGAAAGCAGCAAUGCGCCGAGAGAGGAGUCCGCGGCCGAUUAGCUUGUUGGUAGGGUAAUGGCCUACCAAGGCAAUGAUCGGUAGCCGGCCUGAGAGGGCACACGGCCACACUGGCACUGAAACACGGGCCAGACUCCUACGGGAGGCAGCAGUGGGGAAUCUUGCACAAUGGGGGCAACCCUGAUGCAGCGACGCCGCGUGAGCGAUGAAGCCCUUCGGGGUGUAAAGCUCUUUCGGCAGGAACGAUAAUGACGGUACCUGCAGAAGAAGCUGCGGCUAACUACGUGCCAGCAGCCGCGGUAAUACGUAGGCAGCAAGCGUUGUUCGGAGUUACUGGGCGUAAAGAGUGUGUAGGCGGUUCUCUAAGUUCCGUGUGAAAUCUCCCGGCUCAACUGGGAGGGUGCGCGGAAAACUGGAGGGCUUGAGUAUGGGAGAGGAAAGCGGAAUUCCUGGUGUAGCGGUGAAAUGCGUAGAUAUCAGGAGGAACACCUGCGGUGUAGACAGCUUUCUGGACCAUCACUGACGCUGAGACACGAAAGCGUGGGUAGCAAACAGGAUUAGAUACCCUGGUAGUCCAC